rnacentral:lncRNA from 1 species
CUGUUUGCAGCUACGGCAGUGAGUAUGUAUGUGACGGACCCCGAGUCACCCGCGGCCUGGGACCCCUGCCUACCCUCCGUCUCGCCAGCCGAGCUGUGGAACUAGCGCGUGCCCCCUCGCCGACCUCGGCGUCUCCGGUCCGCCCCUCACUUGUGGUGGGGCGCAGCUCCUGGUCCCUCAGCUGCGCGCCGCCCCACGCGGCCGGGCUGCGGGUCUAGGGGGUCCGCAUCUCCCUGGCUCUCCAAGGGCUAAGGUCGUGAUUCUAGAGCGGCUGGGCGUCCAGGGCCUCGGUGGGGGUGGCGUGUCUGCCCUUUUUAUCUCCCCGCAAGGCCCCCAGUCUUCUAGGGAAGCCAGUCAGUGAAGCGCGGAGGUCCGGGCGCGCCGAGAGAGAGUCCAGUCUUUGAGGACCGAGUAGUCCUGGGCCACCUCCCGCCUCUGCUGUCAGAAGCAGCAGCUGCCGCCGUGGAAUCCAAAAUUUCGGGAGCUGUGUCCCUUUCCUCAUGUAACACGAGUAGUCUUGGACGGCUGGAGUGCAGUGGCGUGAUCAUAGCUCACUGUCAACUUUGAACACUUGGGCUCAAGCUAUCCUCCCUCAGCCUCCCAAGGUGGGAGGUACAGAUCUGGGCAUAGGAACCAAUCAGAAACAAUCGCUUCAGCAAUCAAGACCAUUGUUCAUCAUGGAGGAACCCAUGGAUACCUCUGAGCCUCUAUCUGCAUUACCAUUCACUGGGCAGCAGUCUUUUGAGCCAAGUGGCAAAUUUGGACAGUGUCCAUCCGAUGCAGAUGAACCACAUCCAGGCACUGGGGAGGUGGAGGACAUAGAACAGCUCAAUCAGUGUUUGAUCCAACACUUCCAUCUCAUUAAGACAAGUUUGAUUUUUCUUUGCUUUUUAUUUCAUGGAAUACAUGAGAAUCUCUUAACUGUUGGAGUUUCCAAGGAGGCAUACCUCGUGACUUCA